rnacentral:miRNA from 1 species
CGUACUUCCUUACUUCCCAUAUA